UACGGGAGGCAGCAGUAGGGAAUCUUCCGCAAUGGACGAAAGUCUGACGGAGCAACGCCGCGUGAGUGAUGAAGGUUUUCGGAUCGUAAAGCUCUGUUGUUAGGGAAGAACAAGUGCCGUUCAAAUAGGGCGGCACCUUGACGGUACCUAACCAGAAAGCCACGGCUAACUACGUGCCAGCAGCCGCGGUAAU
rnacentral:rRNA from 2 species